rnacentral:lncRNA from 1 species
AAGAAGGGCACCUUUAAACUACAACGAGGAUAAUGCCGUGGGAUGUGGAACAAGGCAGAAGAAAAUAUGAACAGGAACAUGCUCAGCAGAUUCGCGGCACAGAAGGACGUCAAGUGCUGCCUAAAUGGCAAAGCUUCAGAAGACAGAAAGGUCCAGCCUUUGAGGACAUAGGAAGAAAGGUUCAUGUUCCUCCGAAUUCGGUGAAAAAUAUUGAGGAGCCUUUAUAGACGGGAGAUAAUGAUUUUACUUUGGACUGUAGGAAGUGUCCCUGGCUAUGAAAUGAUGAUUUAGAUGAAGACAGAAGUGGGUGGAAACACUGAGGCUGUUACAGUAAGCCAAGCAGGCAACGGUGGACACUUGGAGUUGGUGGCAGGAGUUCAAGAAAGACAAAAUCUAAAAUAUAAUUGGAGACAUAGAGAAACCAGAUCUCAACAGGAGGGGUGAAGCGGACCGUAAUCGGCAAGAGUGUUUCCCAGGGCGAGGUCACGUGUGUAAUUCUUGCUAGUCAGCCUUUUGGUUUCCCAAAGGGGGGCUGUAAAAAGCAAUUUUAAAAAGGUCCCACUGUCCUGGCUAGCCUGAAACUCUGAAUAUGCACCAAGCUUGCCUUGGACUAAUAUUGAUGUACCUACCUCUCCCUCCUGACUGCUAGUUAUUAAAAGUGUACACCACC